CACUUGAGCGGCUGUAUCUAUACAGGAACAGUUUAGAAGGUGAAAUUCCAAAAGAGAUGGGUAAUUUAACUGUGCUGAAAACAUUUGCCAUUAGUUCCAACAGCAUAACAGGUGCAAUACCCCAAGAGAUCAGUAAGCUAUGCAAUUUGAAACAACUCGACUUGGAGGG